CCGUCUGAAGUGUGUGUGCACGCUAGGUUUUCGUCCUAGAAGGAAAUUCAAGGGAAUUUGAGAUGGC
rnacentral:tRNA from 1 species